GUGUCAGCCGCCGCGGUAAUACAGAGGGUGCGAGCGUUGUCCGGAAUCACUGGGCGUAAAGGGCGCGUAGGUGGCUUGGUAAGCGUGUGGUGAAAGUCCGGGGCUCAACCCCGGAUCUGCCGUGCGAACUGCUGAGCUCGAGCGAUGUAGAGGCAGGUGGAAUUUCGGGUGUAGCGGUGGAAUGCGUAGAUAUCCGAAAGAACACCAGUGGCGAAGGCGGCCUGCUGGGCAUCAGCUGACACUGAGGCGCGACAGCGUGGGGAGCAAACAGGAUUAGAAACCCCGGUAGUCC
rnacentral:rRNA from 1 species